UACGUAGGCAGCAAGCGUUAAUCGGAAUUACUGGGCGUAAAGCGUGCGCAGGCGGUGAUGUAAGACAGUUGUGAAAUCCCCGGGCUCAACCUGGGAACUGCAUCUGUGACUGCAUCGCUGGAGUACGGUAGAGGGGGAUGGAAUUCCGCGUGUAGCAGUGAAAUGCGUAGAUAUGCGGAGGAACACCGAUGGCGAAGGCAAUCCCCUGGACCUGUACUGACGCUCAUGCACGAAAGCGUGGGGAGCAAACAGG
rnacentral:rRNA from 1 species